UAGGUGGCAAGUUUCUACAUAAAGGAGAAGAAAUGAUGAAAAUAAUGAUGUGUUACGGGACUGCUCUCUCGUAGGUCAAGGGUGCUGACUACCAUUCUAAAUGGGAGUAGGGAAGUAUGUGUGUGUGCAUGUGUAUGCGUGUGUGCGUGUGCUCACUCAUGCCUGAGUAACACAGUGCUAUACUUCAGCUAAGUUUAAUGACUUUAUUAGACAGCAUCAAAAAGUUGUGAUACGGUCUUACUUCAAGCGUGCGGAUCCCUUCUAUGAUGAGCAGGAGAAUCACAGUCUCAUUGGGGUGGCUAACGUCUUCCUGGAGUCCCUCUUCUAUGAUGUGAAGUUACAAUAUGCUGUUCCAAUUGUCAACCAGAAAGGAGAGGUGGCGGGCCGGCUGCAUGUGGAGGUGAUGCGCAUCAGUGGGGACGUGGGGGAGAGACUUGCCGGUGGUGAUGAUGCCCCAGACGCCUCCUUUGAUAAGGAGACCCAGGAGAACAAGCUUGUAUGCAUGGUGAGUCCCAUAAUUAUUAUGUCCUUUUUCGGAGAUACCUGUCUCUAAAUAAAUCUUUAAUAUUUAGUGUUCUAGAGACCAUAUUUCAUCAUAUAUCCAGGCUUCCCCAGUAGCCAAGUACUUCUGCUCCCUUCCUCUGUGAAGCCUUGGCCAGGUCAUCUCUUUCCUCUGGGCCAUUCUGCUCUAAAAUGAUAUGUGUGCCUGUUUAUCUGAACCUUUAUAGAGGGAAGUCAGGCUUUUUUGUUUUUUGUUUUUUGUGGUUUUUUUUUUAGGGUCGCACCUACAGCAUAUGGAAGUUCCCGGGCUAGGGGUUGAAUUGGAGCUACAGCUGCAGGUCUACCCCACAGCCACCAGAGUGCAGGAUCUGAGCUACAUCUGCUACCUAUACUGCAGCUUAUGGCAAUGUUGGAUCCUUAACCCACUGGGCAAGGCCGGAGAUCGAACCCAAAUCCUCAUGGACACUGUCAGGUCCUUAACCCAGUGAGCAACAAGGGGAACUCUGAGAAGUCAGUUUUUUUUUUUCACACAGGUUUCCUCCUCCUAUUGGGCCUCUUGAUUCCUUCUGAUGCUGGAGACCUAUCCCCGCCCUGGUCCUGGUCUUAAGCUCUGGCCUUGAGUCACUCUGCACACUGUUUUUUUUUUGUCCCCCCCCCCAUUUUUUUGGUUUCCUCUUCAGGAACGUGCCUUUGCUUAUGCUAAUCCAUCCCGUCCCAAUUCCAGACCCUUUGCUUUCUGCUCCUCACAGGCAUGCGUUCACGAACUGUGUGUAGAGUUAUCUAUGAGACAUUGUGCCAGGUUCUGGAAUCUGAAAAUGAAUGAGACAGGAUUCAUGCUCUAAAGGAACAGCUCAUUUAGUUGGUGUGUCUGUGUAGGAUUCACAUAGUGAAUAGAAGACUCCAGUAUUGUCUGAUGCACAUGCUCUGAGGGGUAGACAAGGGUUGUUCUGAGACAUAGAGCAAAGGUCUUUAAUUAAUACAGAGAGUGAGGUCUGGGGAACAUAUUUGGAAAAAUAAGACUCAGGGUGAACUUGGGGAGCAUGUUACGUAAAACUCCCUUUUCCAUGUGACGCUGUGGUAUUGUCAUUGUCAUGGGUAACUGCUAGGUGGAUGUCAGUAGGUCAUUACCUUCCUAGACUGCCACUACCUUCAUAGCUGCCACUGCCCCUCAUUCAUUACGACAAGGAAGACAUCCCCUUGUGCAUUUCCAAGCACAUGUUAGUGAGCAGAGUGCCAUGGGUUGAGGAUCACUGUAGGAACCCUUUAGAAAGGUUUUUGAAGGGGGAGAAAUCAGAAAGGAGCUUAAAAACAGUGUACAAAUGAGGAGGAGGAGGCCCUUUAAAGGUGAGGUGAAGGAAGCGUACACUUAACUCUUAUUUCGUCGUCUAUCCUAGGUCCAGUGCUGUCUCUCCAUGAACAUUUUAGAGUUGGGGUUGAUUUGGGAAGGAGUGAGUUAGGCAUCAGCUGCAAGGUAUGGGGAGGCUAAAGCUCCCAGGCUAGGGAACCUCCUUAUGCUGCCAGGGGUGUGUCCUUUAAAAAAAAAGAAAAGAAAAGGAAAAGACCCAAACAAAAAGAGUUGGGCCACUUUCUGUAGGUCUUUGUAUGUAUUGGGAAGGCCUCAAGUAGUAGUUGAAGGGCCAUUCCUUCAGUGUGAGGGGGUAAAACUCUUAAUUCACUAAAAGGUUAAUCUUUACUGUACUGUGCUUGAUUUCAGAACAUUUCCUUUGAGGUUAUAAGAUUAUCAAAGAUGGAGACAUAGCCUUGCUGACUUUGUAAUGGUCCACUUUAAGGGCAAUGGACCAGAAAUGCAACCUUGUUAAAGAUCAGUGUGUGAAAGGUAGCAUACUGAAGUAACAUACGAGGAUACUGUCUCACUUGAGAAAUGUAUCUUUGUCACUG
rnacentral:lncRNA from 9 species